GUCUGUGAACGCUGCUUUGUUUGGAAGCUAAAAAUCACACAAUACUAGGUUAAAGUCCGUCCUGUUGGAUGCUAAUCUGUUGUUGUGUGAUUUUUAACUUUGUCCAUCCCAGUCCAACAUCGGCACCUCCACAUCAUUGUUAUUGAGCGGCAAUGCGUGACCAGCAGACCGGCUGCUGGGCACUGAAUGCUAAUGUUGGCGGCGUUUUCUGGAUCGUGGGCGAGUCCUCUCGAGAGACGUGCUGACUGGCAACCCAGGAGCGGACUAGGCCCAGAUGUUUGCUCGUUAUCUCCGUUUCCGCUUGGAUUCCCACCGGAUGCUCCUGUUUCCUCCCACAGUCCAAACAUGCCCACUCCCAUUUCUACCUUUUGAACUGACACAGUUGCUGUAACUUGACUGCUGUGUGAUCGUGACUGCUUCUCCAAGAACAUUGAUGUGCUUUUUUAUUCACAGCACAGCUUGCCACAGUGAUUCACUGACUGUGCUACACAUGGCAGGAACUGGCAUUGACGACUUUCCUGACGUGACUAAAAUUGCAAUGGUGAAAGGAAUUCAACUUAAUUAACAUGAUACAAAAAUCCAUUAAAUGAUUCCCAGGCGGAAGUUCAUGGCAGACACGUUUGGUGCCGAAACUUGGAAUGUUGUCACCAAUAUUGCAAAUUCACGUUCAACUAUAUCAAAGGAGAAUCUCCACACAAUAAUGAAGGGGAUGAACCAGGCAUCUGAUUCACCAAUGGUGACCUAAAUAGCAGCUUGCAGUAAGUGACUGAAGCUUCUGAUGUCACCGUUCUACCUUCUUCAUGACUCAGUAAGCGAGGUUUUGAUCUCUGAACCCACCCAGUAAUUUACAGAUGGAUGGAUUUGUGUCUUGUUCAUUAAGUAGCAUUGUGCUUCCAUGGAUUCAACAAGAAUUGGGAUCCUGAUGUUUCAAACCAGACUUUGCAGAUGGCAUUUGCAAAAAGCAGCAGCAAUGUGACUAGCUUCACAGAUAGAGACAUCUUCAAAACUGAUGUUUGCUCUCACGCUUUCUAGUCUUGAACAAUGCAUUUCCAAAUACAGCAUGCAGUCUUGCACUGUUUCGCAGUGGCUUUUGUGCAGACUUUGCAAUGCUUAUAGUUGACCCCAAAAUGCUUCAGAAAGACCAUUUAUUCAUCAGACACUCAAACCACAUGAGCUGACUAGACCAGUCGAAUCAUGAUUCACAAUAAGAACAUCUGCAGCUGGAAGGUCAGCUUAUUGUUUGAAUUUGGUGUCAGGGUUUUACUUAAUCAUCUGACCUUCAUUCCUGCUGUGAGGAAGUUAAUUUGAAUGUCAUUCUUUUUAACAUGACCCAAGUAUGUUGUUCACAUUUCACGUGUAUAAACUGAUGGAUAGAGAUGGAUGUGUACAUACAUUGAUGAAUGAAUUUCACACACAUGCUCACACUCACUAAUGGACAGAAUAAUGGACACACCAAGAUGUAGAGCUGAAAAUGUGUUGCUGGAAAAGCGCAGCAGACCAGGCAGCACCCAAGGAGCAGGAGAAUUGACGUUUCAGGCAUGAGCCCUUCUUCAGGAAUCUGAUUCCAGCAAUACAUUUUCAGCUCUGAUCUCCAACAUCUGCGGUCCUCACUUACACCCAGAUAUAGAUGCAAUGAUGGAUCAUUAUGUUUGCAGGCAUGCUACCGAUGCACCGAGAUGUACACUGAGAUAGAUGCAAUGUUGCAGGGUUGUGAUAUUAUAAACUUCAGAGCUGUAAUAAUUGUUCAUGAUUGAAAGAAUCAACAAGGAUAAACUGUUCGGUGCAGAAAGAAGCAGCAAUAUCUCUGGAAUAAACUCUUGAAGGGCAAGGGCAAAUUUGAACAGGAAUUGACAGCAAUUAGCCAUGCCUGAGAGUAAGUGGCUUGAAGUUACAUGAAUGAAACUGUCAAAAGACUGCUUGAUAAAUAGCUAGACACACUGGCACCACUACUACCUUAUAUGGAGCAUGGGUAUGUGACUACUUGCAACUUAAUAUAAACGUUUGGGAUUUGUGUCUCAGUGAACUCCAUUGUAUGGGAUCAUUGUGAUCAGGUUUCAGUCAAUUCACUGGCUGAGUGUCAGAGAAGUUUCUGGAAGAGAAAGCACAUUCUGGGAUAAAGUUAGCAGUACAAAGAAUUUACUUCCUCAGAGAGGAUUCAAGACUCACAUUUGUGACAUAUGUGCCCUGAAGUUGCCUUCACAGCAAGGCAAGGUCUACGCCAACAUCAUUCGAGUUGGGGCGGUACAUGUUUCAAGCCAAAUUUAUAGAGUUACAUUACGGGUUAGAAUUAAAUGUAAAUUAUGUUAAAAUGAAGUUAAAUGGAAUUAAAAUUGAAGUUGUUAGAGAUAAGAAGUAAAUGUUGCUGCAAAGAUAUGUUUUAUAUUGAU